GCGGGGGCCGGGGAGCAGUCUUGUGGGACUGAGUCUUUAGCCUUAGGAUCUGGCGCUGUCUCCAGGUAGAUGAUGUCAGAACUGAGUUAGACCAGAGGACGCUCAGCUGGUAUCGGCAUUGCUUGGUGUGAGGAAAUCAGCUGCAUAUCUGGUCACAGAAGUGUUUGAUGUGGGCUGAGCGUACUUCGCUAGCUGAUAAGGAGAGCUUGCAGUGGGCUGUGAACGCUGUGCGAGGAGCUGUCCACCACAGCUGUGCUGAAGUCGGGGAGGUUAUGGGCUAUGGCACAGGGAACAGAAAGUGUCUGUGAAGGAUCCCAGGUUGAUAAUGAGACAUUCUAUAAGUCACUGGAGAAACGCUACAGCAUGGAAGAUAAAUCCAUAUUCAGAAAAGCUUUCAGUUCCAGUAAGGAGAAGAAGUCUGAUGCAAUCAACUUGCCGAGUGCUGGGGUAGUCUCCUCAAGGAAUGACACCAUAAUGAGAUCCAGCCUCUGCGAUGAGUGUUCAGUAGCAGCAGUAGGUAUCCAUAAAUCAGCCUUGGUGAGAGGAAUCCCUGUCAUUGGGCCUAUGCAGAGCUUCCAGCUCUGCCACCUUCCCACUCUGUUCGUGGGCCCAAGCACUUCCUUGGUUGAGGAUAGAA